AACGAACGCUGGCGGCAUGCCUAACACAUGCAAGUCGAACGAGACCUUCGGGUCUAGUGGCGCACGGGUGCGUAACGCGUGGGAAUCUGCCCUUGGGUUCGGAAUAACAGUGAGAAAUUACUGCUAAUACCGGAUGAUGUCUUCGGACCAAAGAUUUAUCGCCCAGGGAUGAGCCCGCGUAGGAUUAGCCAGUUGGUGGGGUAAUGGCCUACCAAGGCGACGAUCCUUAGCUGGUAUGAGAGGAUGAUCAGCCACACUGGGACUGGGACCCGGCCCAGACUCCUACGGGAGGCAGCAGUGGGGAAUAUUGGACAAUGGGCGCAAGCAUGAUCCAGCAAUGCCGGGUGAGUGAUGAAGGCCUUAGGGUUGUAAAGCUCUUUUACCCGGGAUGAUAAUGACAGUACCGGGAGAAUAAGCUCCGGCUAACUCCGUG
rnacentral:rRNA from 1 species